AGCGAAUAGAUACCCCGGUAGUCCACGCUGUAAACGAUGGAUACUAGGUGUAGCAGGUAUCGACCCCUGCUGUGCCGCAGCUAACGCAAUAAGUAUCCCGCCUGGGGAGUAUGGCGCAAGGUUGAAACUCAAAGGAAUUGACGGGGGCCCGGCACAAGCGGUGGAGGAUGUGGUUUAAUUUCGACGCAACGCGAAGAACCUUACCAAGGCUUGACAUCCACUGAAUCUUGUAGAAAUACAGGAGUGCCCGAAAGGGAGCAGUGAGACAGGUGGUGCAUGGCUGUCGUCAGCUCGUGUCGUGAGAUGUUGGGUUUAAGUCCCGCAACGAGCGCAACCCUCGACGUUAGUUACCAUCAUUCAGUUGGGGGACUCUAACGUGACUGCCGGUGAUAAGCCGGAGGAAGGUGAGGACGACGUCAAGUCAUCAUGCCCCUUACGGUCUUGGGCUACACACGUCCUACAAUGGCAUAGACAAAGGGCUGCAAGACCGCGAGG
rnacentral:rRNA from 1 species